UACAGAGGUCUCAAGCGUUGUUCGGAUUCAUUGGGCGUAAAGGGUGCGUAGGUGGCGCGGUAAGUCGGGUGUGAAAUUUCGGAGCUUAACUUCGAAACUGCAUUCGAUACUGCGGUGCUUGAGGACUGGAGAGGAGACUGGAAUUCAUGGUGUAGCAGUGAAAUGCGUAGAGAUCAUGAGGAAGACCAGUGGCGAAGGCGGGUCUCUGGACAGUUCCUGACACUGAGGCACGAAGGCCAGGGGAGCAAACGGG
rnacentral:rRNA from 1 species